AACGAACGCUGGCGGCGUGCCUAACACAUGCAAGUCGAGCGAGAAAGUCCCGGCAACGGGAUGAGUACAGCGGCGAACGGGUGAGUAACGCGUGGGUAAUCUACCCUCCAGCUCGGGAUAACCUGCCGAAAGGUGGGCUAAUACCGGAUGAUGUUCCCGUGGGGAUCCUGCGGGAAGCAAAGGGGGCGAGCGUAAGCAGCUCUCACUGGAGGAGGAGCCUGCGUCCGAUUAGCUAGUUGGUGGGGUAAUGGCCUACCAAGGCGACGAUCGGUAGCCGGCCUGAGAGGGCGACCGGCCACACUGGAACUGAGACACGGUCCAGACUCCUACGGGAGGCAGCAGUGGGGAAUCUUGCGCAAUGGGCGAAAGCCUGACGCAGCGACGCCGCGUGGGCGAUGAAGGCCUUCGGGUCGUAAAGCCCUGUCGGGUGGGACGAAUCUCCUGGUGGCGAAUAACCACCGGGCUUGACGGUACCACCGAAGGAAGCCCCGGCUAACUACGUGCCAGCCGCCGCAGUAA
rnacentral:rRNA from 1 species